UACGUAGGUGGCAAGCGUUAUCCGGAUUUAUUGGGUUUAAAGGGUGCGUAGGUGGUUUAGUAAGUCAGUGGUGAAAGACGGCCGCUUAACGGUCGCAUUGCCAUUGAUACUGCUAAGCUAGAGUGCAGAUGAGGUAGGCAGAAUGGAUGGUGUAGCGGUGAAAUGCAUAGAUAUCAUCCAGAAUACCGAUUGCGAAGGCAGCUUACUGGGCUGUAACUGACACUGAGGCACGAAAGUAUGGGGAUCAAACAGG
rnacentral:rRNA from 1 species